rnacentral:rRNA from 1 species
UACGUAGGGGGCAAGCGUUGUCCGGAUUUAUUGGGCGUAAAGAGCGUGUAGGCGGCCAUGCAGGUCCGUUGUGAAAACUCGAGGCUCAACCUCGAGACGCCGAUGGAAACCGCAUGGCUAGAGUCCGGAAGAGGAGAGUGGAAUUCCUGGUGUAGCGGUGAAAUGCGCAGAUAUCAGGAAGAACACCCGUGGCUAAGGCGGCUCUCUAGUACGGUACUGACGCUGAGACGCGAAAAGCGUGGGGGAGCGAACAGG